UACGGAGGGAGCUAGCGUUGUUCGGAAUUACUGGGCGUAAAGCGUGCGCAGGCGGUUCGUUAAGUUCGUUGUGAAAGCCCCGGGCUCAACCUGGGAACUGCAAUGGAAACUGGCGGGCUUGAGUGUGGCAGAGGGGGGUGGAAUUCCGCGUGUAGCAGUGAAAUGCGUAGAGAUGCGGAGGAACACCGAUGGCGAAGGCAGCCCCCUGGGCCAACACUGACGCUCAGGCACGAAAGCGUGGGGAGCAAACAGG
rnacentral:rRNA from 1 species